UACUCGAGUGGCGAACGGGUGAGUAACACGUGGGUGAUCUGCCCUGCACUCUGGGAUAAGCCUGGGAAACUGGGUCUAAUACCGGAUAGGACCAUGCUUUAGUGUGUGUGGUGGAAAGUUUUUUCGGUGUAGGAUGAGCCCGCGGCCUAUCAGCUUGUUGGGUGGGGUAAUGGCCUACCAAGGCGGCGACGGGUAGCCGGACUGAGAGGUUGGUCGGCCACAUUGGGACUGAGAUACGGCCCAG
rnacentral:rRNA from 1 species